rnacentral:rRNA from 1 species
UGGGGAAUAUUGCACAAUGGGCGCAAGCCUGAUGCAGCCAUGCCGCGUGUGUGAAGAAGGCCUUCGGGUUGUAAAGCACUUUCAGCGAGGAGGAAGGUGGUGAGCUUAAUACGCUCAUCAAUUGACGUUACUCGCAGAAGAAGCACCGGCUAACUCCGUGCCAGCAGCCGCGGUAAUACGGAGGGUGCAAGCGUUAAUCGGAAUUACUGGGCGUAAAGCGCACGCAGGCGGUUUGUUAAGUCAGAUGUGAAAUCCCCGGGCUCAACCUGGGAACUGCAUUUGAAACUGGCAAGCUAGAGUCUCGUAGAGGGGGGUAGAAUUCCAGGUGUAGCGGUGAAAUGCGUAGAGAUCUGGAGGAAUACCGGUGGCGAAGGCGGCCCCCCUGGACGAAGACUGACGCUCAGGUGCGAAAGCGUGGGGCAGCAAACAGGAUUAGAUACCCUGGUAGUCCACGCUGUAAACGAUGUCGAUUUGGAGGUUGUGCCCUUGAGACGUGGCUUCCGGAGCUAACGCGUUAAAUCGACCGCCUGGGGAGUACGGCCGCAAGGUU